CCUAUAGGCUGACCACCUGUAGAACAUGCCAUCGAGUAAAAACCAUCCCAGUAGGGUUAUUGGUACGCCCGCCAUUAAAGAGAUUGAAAGCAAGUGAAAUUGACCGUGCAUGUUAGGUAUGUGUGAUUGUGAGUAGCGGUAGAUCAGUUGCCGAGCUGGUC
rnacentral:ncRNA from 1 species